ACCUACGGGAGGCAGCAGUGAGGAAUAUUGGUCAAUGGGCGGAAGCCUGAACCAGCCAAGUCGCGUGAGGGACUGAGGCCCUGCGGGUCGUAAACCUCUUUUGCCGGGGAGCAGUGGUCCGGACGCGUCCGGACCGGGAGAGUACCCGGAGAAAAAGCAUCGGCUAACUCCGUGCCAGCAGCCGCGGUAAUACGGAGGAUGCGAGCGUUAUCCGGAUUUAUUGGGUUUAAAGGGUGCGUAGGCGGGCAUUU
rnacentral:rRNA from 1 species